AGUGAACGCUGGCGGCGUGCUUAACACAUGCAAGUCGAUCGGUAACGCGGGGGCAACCCUGGCGACGAGAGGCGGACGGGUGAGGAACGCUUGGGAAUCUGCCUAUCAGCGGGGGACAACACGGGGAAACUCGUGCUAAUACCGCAUACGCUCUACGGAGGAAAGCCGGGGACCGCAAGGCCUGGCACUGAUAGAUGAGCCCAAGCCGGAUUAGCUAGUUGGCGGGGUAACGGCCCACCAAGGCGACGAUCCGUAGCUGGUCUGAGAGGACGAUCAGUCACACUGGAACUGAGACACGGUCCAGACUCCUACGGGAGGCUGCAGUGGGGAAUAUUGGACAAUGGGGGAAACCCUGAUCCAGCGACGCCGCGUGGGUGAAGAAGGCCUGCGGGUUGUAAAGCCCUUUCGGUAGGGACGAAAGCUCUCGACCUAACACGUCGGGAGGUUGACUUAACCUACAGAAGAAGCACCGGCUAACUCUGUGCCAGCCGCCGCGGUAAGAC
rnacentral:rRNA from 1 species